UACGUAGGGUGCGAGCGUUGUCCGGAAUUAUUGGGCGUAAAGGGCUCGUAGGCGGUCUGUUGCGUCAGGAGUGUAAACUCGGGGCUUAACCCCGAGCCUGCUUCUGAUACGGGCAGACUAGAGGUAUGCAGGGGAGAACGGAAUUCCUGGUGUAGCGGUGAAAUGCGCAGAUAUCAGGAGGAACACCGGUGGCGAAGGCGGUUCUCUGGGCCGAUACUGACGCUGAGGAGCGAAAGCGUGGGGAGCGAACAGG
rnacentral:rRNA from 1 species